rnacentral:rRNA from 1 species
GAGUAAUCUACCCUCGAGUGGGGAAUAACAUCGGGAAACCGAUGCUAAUACCGCAUAACGCAGCGGCACCGCAAGGUGACAGUUGUUAAAGGAGCAAUCCGCUUGAGGAGGAGCUUGCGGCAGAUUAGCUAGUUGGUGAGGUAAUGGCUCACCAAGGCGACGAUCUGUAUCCGGCCUGAGAGGGCGGUCGGACACACUGACACUGAAUAACGGGUCAGACUCCUACGGGAGGCAGCAGUCGGGAAUUUUGGGCAAUGGGCGAAAGCCUGACCCAGCAACGCCGCGUGAGGGAUGAAGUAUUUCGGUAUGUAAACCUCGAAAGAAUGGGAAGAAUAAAUGACGGUACCAUUUAUAAGCUCCGGCUAACUACGUGCCAGCAGCCGCGGUAAUACGUAGGGAGCAAGCGUUGUUCGGAUUUACUGGGCGUAAAGGGCGCGUAGGCGGCGCGGUAAGUCACUUGUGAAAUCUCUGAGCUUAACUCAGAACGGCCAAGUGAUACUGCUGUGCUAGAGUGCGGAAGAGGCAACCGGAAUUCUUGGUGUAGCGGUGAAAUGCGUAGAUAUCAAGAGGAACACCUGAGGCGAAGGCGGGUCGCUGGG